GAUGAACGCUGGCGGCGUGCCUAAUACAUGCAAGUCGAGCGAACAGACGAGGAGCUUGCUCCUUUGACGUUAGCGGCGGACGGGUGAGUAACACGUGGGUAACCUACCUAUAAGACUGGGAUAACUUCGGGAAAGCGGAGCUAAUACCGGAUAAUAUUUCGAACCGCAUGGUUCGAUAGUGAAAGAUGGCUCUGCUAUCACUUAUAGAUGGACCUGCGCCGUAUUAGCUAGUUGGUAAGGUAACGGCUUACCAAGGCAACGAUACGUAGCCGACCUGAGAGGGUGAUCGGCCACACUGGAACUGAGACACGGUCCAGACUCCUACGGGAGGCAGCAGUAGGGAAUCUUCCGCAAUGGGCGAAAGCCUGACGGAGCAACGCCGCGUGAGUGAUGAAGGUCUUCGGAUCGUAAAACUCUGUUAUUAGGGAAGAACAAACGUGUAAGUAACUGUGCACGUCUUGACGGUACCUAAUCAGAAAGCCACGGCUAACUACGUG
rnacentral:rRNA from 1 species